rnacentral:lncRNA from 1 species
GGUUAGUGGAAUUUAAUUUGUUGAGAUAUAUAAUGCAGGUGGCUGAUCCUGAUAUGCGUUUUGGGAAUGGAGGGCUUGACUCGGUGCCAAGACGUGUUGGCCUCUGCCUCAACAUGUACUCACUGAUGGCCAACGGACGCAAAAUACCCAAUUCCUCCAACACUUAGCCGAAACUCGAAGAGUAAAUCAAACCUCUUACCUCGGUCAUCGCCGAUCGGGAUCAAAUUCGCUGGAAAUUGCAGAAAACCCGCCGGCAGCUCCGAAGCUUCCAAGUUUUAAUUCUCUCUCCAAAAUAGGAUCCAAACCCGCCGGCAUCUCCAAAGCUUCCAAGUUAUAAUCUUUCACCUCACCGAGACGCAGCUACCGCUAUCAGUCUCGCCAGCAGUCGUCGUCGAAGUCGGAAAAUCUGACUGGAAACCGCCAUGCAGUGGAAACUUUCGAGCCUCAGGCCGCCGUCACAGCUCGCCCGUUUGAACCAAAGGGAACAAAUCCCCGCUUCGCACCUGCGAGACCAUUCCAACGUCACCGGUCUUCCGAACAGAGGUCGCCGGAAUCGAAAGGAGGAAUCGAUCACCGUUAAUGGGUUUCGGGGUCGAGAAACCGGGUCGACCAGUCUGGCUUCUUCUACAUCGUCUCGAUAUUUAUUAAUGAUACACGGCCCAGAUCAAUCGGUGACUGAAAUCAACGGCUCUGAUUGCACCAUGUAAUCUCCAUAGGAUUUA